rnacentral:rRNA from 1 species
ACUCCUACGGGAGGCAGCAGUGGGAAUAUUGCACAAUGGGAAGCCAUCGAUGCAGCCAUGCCGCGCUGUGUGAAGAAGGCCAAUCGGGCUUGGUUAAAGACACUUUCAGCGAGGAGGAAAGGGUGUGUGCUAAUACCAUACAUCUGUGACGUUACUCGCAGAAGAAGCACCGGCUAACUCCGUGCCAGCAGCCGCGGUAAUACGGAGGGUGCGAGCGUUAAUCGGAAUUACUGGGCGUAAAGCGUGCGCAGGCGGUUUGUUAAGCGAGAUGUGAAAGCCCGC